AAGUCGUAACAAGGUCUCCGUAGGUGAACCUGCGGAGGGAUCAUUACUGAGUGAGGGCUCGCGCCCGACCUCCAACCCUUUGUGAACCAAAUCCUGUUGCUUCGGGGGCGACCCUGCCGGCACACCGUCGCCGGGCGCCCCCGGAGGUCUUCAAACACUGCAUCUUUGCGUCGGAGUUUAAAUCAAAUUAAACAAAACUUUCAACAACGGAUCUCUUGGUUCUG
rnacentral:misc_RNA from 1 species